rnacentral:rRNA from 1 species
UUCUUGGAGAGUUUGAUCCUGGCUCAGGACGAACGCUGGCGGCGUGCCUAAUACAUGCAAGUCGAGCGAAUCUUAAGGUGCUUGCACCUUUUGAUUAGCGGCGGACGGGUGAGUAACGCGUGGGCAACCUGCCUGUAAGACUGGGAUAACUUCGGGAAACCGGAGCUAAUACCGGAUAAUCCUUU